UGCUCGAGGACGUUCUUUUCCUACCUCUGCAUUUGAUUUAUAGAAAUGCAUGCUGCACCAUCCAGGUGCAUCCAAGGGAGAAUCAGAAGUGAAGGAACUGUCACAGACUCAGUCUUGCACAAACCAUUGCAAUCUCUAUUCUGCACUGUCCUUCAGUUUCCUGAGGAAGCAAAAAUUCCUCAGGAUUGAAGAGCAUGACCAUGCAUAGCAAACAGCGAGCCAGGGGACGUGUCAGCACUUCUGGUUGAGGACACAACUCUGACACCCCAAGGCCUUGUGGACAGCCUCACACCUUAAAGUCAGAGAGGGUGAUGUUGAGACCAAGAUGAAACCAUGCAGAAGAUCCAUCAGCUUAAGAAGGAACAAUCUACCCUCUCAAAGCUUGAAGCAUGGCUGACAAUAUCCUGCAUAUCUUAGUGGAAUCCUGCUGUUGGAAAUGAGCUGGAACCCAAAGCCUUUCCUCUGACCACAUCCACACGUUAAGCUUACAAGCAACUUUCCUAAGACUUCAA
rnacentral:lncRNA from 1 species